rnacentral:ncRNA from 1 species
GUCGUUGCGAUAGUAAUCCUGCUCAGUACGAGAGGAACCGCAGGUUCGGACAUUUGGUUCACGCACUUGGUCGAGCGGUCGGUGUUGCGAAGCUACCAUCUGUGGGAUUAUAUCUAAGGCCGUAUCCUUUCUAGCCAAAGGAGGCAACGAU